rnacentral:lncRNA from 1 species
AUUGGCCAACGAGAGAAGCCCAAGUGUGGUUCUGACAAUGCACUUGUGAGGCACCUAGUAUGUGUGAAGUACCAAAGAUCUGAGAAGACUAAGGUCGAGUCCAUUUGCUGUGAGACCCUCAUGGACCAGAAAGGAGGUAGAGGCGCACAAGUGAGACAUAAUAUAAAGCUGUUGCUUACCAGCUUCCUUCAAAUCCUGUUUGAACUAAAAACCCCACAUUUCCUGGUUUGACGGAGCAAUUCCC